UACGAAGGGGGCUAGCGUUGCUCGGAAUCACUGGGCGUAAAGCGCACGUAGGCGGCUUCUUAAGUCAGGGGUGAAAUCCUGGAGCUCAACUCCAGAACUGCCUUUGAUACUGAGAAGCUUGAGUCCGGGAGAGGUGAGUGGAACUGCGAGUGUAGAGGUGAAAUUCGUAGAUAUUCGGAAGAACACCAGUGGCGAAGGCGACUUACUGGACGAUUGUUGACGCUGAGGUGCGAAAGCGUGGGGAGCAAACAGG
rnacentral:rRNA from 1 species